AGGAGGCGCGCGCGGUUCCCAGAGCGGCGGUUCUCACGCAGAGCAAGGAGGCGCGCCACCACGAACAGAUAGGAUGAAAGAAUCAAGAACAAAGAAACAGCCUGAAGGUGAUUCUGAGAUUUCAGCAUGGGUUAGUAAAAGCCGCAAGUUAGAAAA